rnacentral:rRNA from 1 species
UACGUAGGGUGCGAGCGUUGUCCGGAAUUACUGGGCGUAAAGAGCUCGUAGGUGGUUUGUCGCGUUGUUCGUGAAAACUCACAGCUUAACUGUGGGCGUGCGGGCGAUACGGGCAGACUGGAGUACUGCAGGGGAGACUGGAAUUCCCGGUGUAGCGGUGAAAUGCGCAGAGAAUCGGGAGGAACACCAAUGGCGAAAGCAGGUACCUGGACUAUUACUGACGCUAAGCUGCGAAAGCUAGGGGAGCAAACAGG